AGACUCAUCGCUCCUGUUCCACCUCAGGAUAAAGUUGUCAUCUAUGAUGUCGACCUCUACUUUUUGAGGAGAUUUUAGAUUUUUUCCACUGCGCAGACCCAGCGACUUUGGAGUUCCCGCGUCUCUUCCCCAUGUCUGCAGUCGGAGGGCGCGGGUGGGCUCCUGGUCGCGGCCCGGCGCUCUUCGUCCUCGCCCUUCUCCGCCCGGGGCGCUUGCUGACCCUAGAGUCUUGGACAGUGGCGUUGGGAGU
rnacentral:lncRNA from 1 species